UGGGGAAUAUUGGACAAUGGGCGCAAGCCUGAUCCAGCAACGCCGCGUGGAGGACGAAGGUCUUCGGAUCGUAAACUCCUGUCGAGCGGGAAGAACACCUUUCGGGCGAAUAUCCCGGAAGGCUGACGGUACCGCUAAAGGAAGCCCCGGCUAACUCCGUGACAGCAGCCGCGGUAAUACGGGGGGGGCAAGCGUUGUUCGGAAUUACUGGGCGUAAAGGGCUCGUAGGCGGCCAACUAAGUCAGACGUGAAAUCCCCAGGCUCAACCUGGGAACUGCGUCUGAUACUGGAUGGCUUGAAUCCGGGAGAGGGAUGCAGAAUUCCAGGUGUAGCGGUGAAAUGCGUAGAUAUCUGGAGGAAUACCGGUGGCGAAGGCGGCAUCCUGGACCGGCAUUGACGCUGAGGAGCGAAAGCUAGGGGAGCAAA
rnacentral:rRNA from 1 species